rnacentral:rRNA from 1 species
UGGGGAAUUUUGGACAAUGGGCGAAAGCCUGAUCCAGCAAUGCCGCGUGUGUGAAGAAGGCCUUCGGGUUGUAAAGCACUUUUGUCCGGAAAGAAAUCCUUGGCUCUAAUACAGUCGGGGGAUGACGGUACCGGAAGAAUAAGCACCGGCUAACUACGUGCCAGCAGCCGCGGUAAUACGUAGGGUGCAAGCGUUAAUCGGAAUUACUGGGCGUAAAGCGUGCGCAGGCGGUUUGCUAAGACCGAUGUGAAAUCCCCGGGCUCAACCUGGGAACUGCAUUGGUGACUGGCAGGCUAGAGUAUGGCAGAGGGGGGUAGAAUUCCACGUGUAGCAGUGAAAUGCGUAGAGAUGUGGAGGAAUACCGAUGGCGAAGGCAGCCCCCUGGGCCAAUACUGACGCUCAUGCACGAAAGCGCGGGGAGCAAACAGGAUUAGAUACCCUGGUAGUCCACGCCCUAAACGAUGUCAACUAGUUGUUGGGGAUUCAUUUCCUUAGUAACGUAGCUAACGCGUGAAGUUGACCGCCCGGGGAGUACGGUCGCAAGAUUAAAACUCAAAGGAAUUGAC